CUCAUUCUGCCGCUCCCUGGGUAAAAGGAGAUCUUCCAGGAAUGUUGGCAGAAGUGCCAGAACACUAAUCCUUCAGAGCAAAUCUUGUCAUUGCUAUACUUCAACUAACAUAUUGCUGUGAACGCCACCUGGAGAUGGGAGAAACAAACAGUGAUACUCACAGCCUGCACUUGGAGCUGCAGGUCAUUUUUCUCCUGCACCAGUGCUACCAUUUUCUCCUCCAGUUCCUUCCGCUUUGCCUCAGACUUUGCAAGCUCUUCCUUGGUUUUCUCAAACUCUUCCUUCAUGUUGGCCAUCUCCUUCUCAGACUCUGCACUCUUCAGCAAGGGCUUGAUCUUGAAGAACAGCUUCAUCCAGGGCCAGUGUUUGACAUUCAUGAAUGAACGAACGUUGUACUGGAUGCAGAAGAUGGACUCUCUGAAAUGAAAUUCAUGUGAUUAUUACACAGCUCUGCUUUGAUUAAUUUAAACUUCAUUAGCCAAAUACCAUGAGAAUUAAAUAAAUUUUAGAAAAGUCUACCUCCUUUCCACCAUUCUCUUGUACUCGACUCUCAUCAGGAAGCCCCUGCACCUGGCCUGUGUGCGAGUGAUGAUUUCUGCCAACUUGUCAUCUCUCAUCUCCUCCAGGAGUCCCAGCAGCCCAGCUUUGAAGAACACCUUGAGAGAGGAAAUGGUGCAGCAUGUCACUGUGAGGUAGUACAGGCUAAACACACAGCACCUUUCAGUAUCCUAACAGACCUUAAUGGCCAUGACCAGCAUCACCUUGGGCCUUCUCCCAUGCCCUCUGUCCAAGGGCUUAGAGCUUCCCUUAGUCUCAGACUUAAGCAUUCAGUCCCUGUCUGAGCUAUGUGUCAUGAGUACUGUUUCCAGUUCAGCCACAGCCUCAGCCACCCCCACACCUGAUCAUGGACCCCAGUGAGCUCUACCAUGACCUGCUCACUUACUUCCUGGCUUGAUGUUAAACAUAUGUCAUUGCUGUGUAUAGGUCCAUGAAUUAAAGAAUAGGGCCUUGCCUUGUUAGCCUACCUAUACCUGACCCUGCCAAAUCAUGAAAACCAAGGCUUUAUAGCUUCACCUCAGACCUUCCUUAUUGUAACAAACCUGCCUGAUGUCCUGGACUCCUGGUUGAAUCUGACUACCACUCCCAGGUCAUCCUCAUUUGCCUUGAUCGAGUACAGUGGUGCUGGGCACUUCCUGAUUGAGGUCUCCCCCUGCCAGCUCUGGUAUGUCAUUUUGCUGUGCCCCAUCCCCCUGGCAGAGCAGCCCACCCUCACUGCUUUUGACAAACUUUUAACACAGGUCUUGUUUUUACCUUGGUGUGACCAAAUUUGUACUGGGUGUGGUCCACAUCAAUGGACCCAAGGAGCUUCUCAGAAGCCUUCUUGUUGUCCAUGAACUGUCCCUCUGGGAUAGCACUGGCAUUGAGUACUCUGUAUCUGCAGAGGAAAACAUGAAGAAAUUGUCAAAACCACUACUGUGAUUGAACCCCCAGCCUUCUAAGACUGUCCCAUUGAACAAAUCUUAUGCCUGGAGACAGUUCAAUUCAGGAUAUGGGGAUUGUUUUUGAUAUAUAAUACUAAUUCUAAGUACUAGAGAAUCCUGAUCUCAGCAAUGCCCUGCCAUCAUGAACUGGCGGCGAAACAUUUCUAUAUUACUGUUCACUACCAAUUUAAAGUAUGAAGUUUUUUUUUUUAAAGUAUAUCACAAUACUCAGGCUCUUCAGCUUGGUCUGAAUGAGCAGAAAGGUGCAGUGCUCUUACCUCUGUUUGAAGUCAGCAUAGAGGACUCUGCUGGGGAACCCUUUCCUGCAGAUCCUGAUCCCUUCCAACACACCGUUACAGCGCAGCUGGUGCAGCACCAGCUCGUGCUCCAUGGCACCUGACAAAGACCAGCAUUAGUGACUACCCUGCUCUCUGACACUCAGGAAAGGAGCUUCUGCUGCUCAAGUUUUCCUCCUCUUGGAUGUCCUUACCAGGUGUUUUUGUUUCAUUUGGGAUGAUGCACCGUACAAAGUGAGGGUGGGUGCUCCUCAGGUUGGCCAUCAGCUUGUUUAAA